rnacentral:rRNA from 1 species
CCUACGGGUGGCAGCAGUGGGGAAUAUUGGACAAUGGGGGCAACCCUGAUCCAGCCAUGCCGCGUGUGUGAAGAAGGCCCUCGGGUUGUAAAGCACUUUCAGUGAGGAAGAACGCCUGGUGGUUAAUACCCAUCAGGAAAGACAUCUCUCACAGAAGAAGCACCGGCUAACUCCGUGCCAGCAGCCGCGGUAAUACGGAGGGUGCGAGCGUUAAUCGGAAUUACUGGGCGUAAAGCGCGCGUAGGUGGCUUGAUAAGCCGGUUGUGAAAGCCCCGGGCUCAACCUGGGAACGGCAUCCGGAACUGUCAAGCUAGAGUGCAGGAGAGGAAGGUAGAAUUCCCGGUGUAGCGGUGAAAUGCGUAGAGAUCGGGAGGAAUACCAGUGGCGAAGGCGGCCUUCUGGACUGACACUGACACUGAGGUGCGAAAGCGUGGGUAGCAAACAGGAUUAGAUACCCUUGUAGUC